rnacentral:rRNA from 1 species
GAGGAAAGAGGGAGGUGUGAUUAAUACAUGCAAGCCGAGCGAACGGACGAGAAGCUUGCUUCUCUGAUGUUAGCGGCGGACGGGUGAGUAACACGUGGAUAACCUACCUAUAAGACUGGGAUAACUUCGGGAAACCGGAGCUAAUACCGGAUAAUAUUUUGAACCGCAUGGUUCAAAAGUGAAAGACGGUCUUGCUGUCACUUAUAGAUGGAUCCGCGCUGCAUUAGCUAGUUGGUAAGGUAACGGCUUACCAAGGCAACGAUGCAUAGCCGACCUGAGAGGGUGAUCGGCCACACUGGAACUGAGACACGGUCCAGACUCCUACGGGAGGCAGCAGUAGGGAAUCUUCCGCAAUGGGCGAAAGCCUGACGGAGCAACGCCGCGUGAGUGAUGAAGGUCUUCGGAUCGUAAAACUCUGUUAUUAGGGAAGAACAUAUGUGUAAGUAACUGUGCACAUCUUGACGGUACCUAAUCAGAAAGCCACGGCUAACUACGUG